CGAUCCGGAAGCUGGGCGCGCAGUGGGGGACUCGGGAAAAUCCGGAACGGAACACCUUACAGCACGGGCCGCGGACUUUCGGCGCGUGCGCAGAAGGCGUCCCAGGCGCUAACUCCGGGGCGGUCCUUACAACGCGGACUGGAGCCCGCGCGCGCCUCUCAGGCCCGCAAAGUCCGCGCCCGGCUGCGGGAUGGCAGCCAGCCUGUGGAUGGGAGACCUGGAACCCUACAUGGAUGAGAGCUUCAUCUCCAGAGCCUUUGCCACCAUGGGGGAGACCGUGAUGAGCGUCAAAAUUAUCCGAAACCGCCUCACUGGGAUCCCAGCUGGCUACUGCUUUGUAGAAUUUGCAGAUUUGGCCACAGCUGAGAAGUGUUUACAUAAAAUUAAUGGGAAACCCCUUCCAGGAGCCACACCUGCAAAACGUUUUAAACUGAACUAUGCCACUUAUGGGAAACAGCCAGAUAAUAGCCCUGAGUACUCCCUCUUUGUCGGGGACCUGACCCCAGAUGUGGAUGAUGGCAUGCUGUAUGAGUUCUUCGUCAAAGUCUACCCUUCCUGUCGGGGAGGCAAGGUGGUUCUGGACCAGACAGGCGUGUCUAAGGGUUAUGGUUUUGUGAAAUUCACAGAUGAACUGGAACAGAAGCGAGCCCUUACAGAGUGCCAAGGAGCAGUAGGACUGGGGUCUAAACCUGUGCGGCUGAGUGUGGCAAUCCCUAAAGCGAGCCGGGUAAAGCCAGUGGAAUACAGUCAGAUGUACAGUUACAGCUACAACCAGUAUUAUCAACAGUACCAGAACUACUAUGCCCAGUGGGGCUAUGAUCAGAACACAGGCAGCUACAGCUACAGUUACCCCCAGUAUGGCUACACCCAGAGCACCAUGCAGACAUAUGAAGAAGUUGGAGACGAUGCAUUGGAAGACCCUAUGCCACAGCUGGAUGUGACAGAGGCCAACAAGGAGUUCAUGGAGCAGAGUGAGGAGCUGUAUGAUGCGUUGAUGGACUGUCACUGGCAGCCCCUGGACUCAGUGUCUUCAGAGAUCCCAGCUGUAAUCUAACCAAGACAAAGGAAAGGCCAGCAUGGACUGAGGGAAGAUCAGACUUUUCUUAAAAUAUGAAAACUUUUACCUUUUCAAAAAUGGUUUAUAAGAUUUUAAUAACCUUCCUGAUACUGUAUUUCCACGAUGCUGCCGCUUUCAUUUGGUAUCAUUUGAAUGGAAACCAAUGGUUGGACCAAAGUCUAAACAGCAAAUUCCUGGUUAUUCACUUGAGGAGAAAAAUACAAGGAUUAGCCAUUGGAUUGUGGGCUGUUUUCCAAAGCUUAGGUUAGGAUCAGAGUCAGUGCGUGUUAGGGCACCUCAACAGAUUCCUGAUCUCGCAGCUAAGAUAAGGAGCACAGGCCAGUGUGGGGAUAAACCAAGCAACUGCAAUCUACUAUAGCCUGGAACUGGGCAUCUUGACAACUAAGCCCCGCCAGACAGGUUUGUGGCUCAUGACUGAAUCUGCAGGAGGAUGAGCUCAAGGAUGGCAUGAACUACAUUGUCUCCAAAAAAAAAUAAUAAUAAAGUUGAUGAAGUAACAUACUUGGGAGAGGAUCGCAGGAAAAAAAAUUUGAGGCAGCAGGAUUGCAGAAUUCAAGACCAGUCUGAACUACAUAAGCAAGGCCUUGUCUCAAAAAACAAAAACCCAAACACACACAAAAACUUUUGCAUUUGCUUAGUUUUCACUGAAGCAGUUUGGGGGUGUGCUUUGGGAAGUAGAUAAAUAUUACUUCUUUGGGCCCAUACCACACAUGGGGAGUCCAGCAAA